AAAAGUAAAAACAUGUAAUCAAGAUAAAGAAAAAGAAAAGAAACUUGAGGUUUACCUUCUGAGAGAAAGGAAGAAAAACCUUGCUGUGCUGAUUAUGUAAAUGUGCAGUAGAGUUUUUUUUUUUUAUGAGCUCAAAUCUCUGAAGGACCGAGUUUCUGGCCUGACUAACUCGUGAAAUGAAACUUGGCCGAGACAGGGUUGAUGAAAAAAUCCGAUUUUGGUUCGCAUGUAAUUUCAGAUUUUUUUAAACAAAAAAAAAAAAAUUAGUUUGGGUCAGCCCACUUGACUUACGACCCAAAUCUUCAUUCGGAUAGAUUGUGG
rnacentral:lncRNA from 1 species